GGCAGGAAAAGGCUCCGGUUACUGGGCGAGUGAGUCCUGCCCUUGCAGGUUGAGUGUACGCCACUAGGUGACAGUGUUGUGGCGGGAACAGAACAUCCUGGGCUGGAGAUUUCUUUCCAGUCUCCCCAGAGCUCGUGUGUGUCCUCCAGUCUGAAUUCCAACAACCCCAAAGCCCCUCUGCUCUAGGAACAGACCAGCACCCUGUGCGGCCUCCUGCUCCCAGAGCUGGAGGGAGGAAGGGAGGCCCUGAUUCUGCCGUUAAGUACCUCAUCCCUCUCCGAGGUGACACCAGGCCUGCCUGAUCCCAGCGUGGCCCCACACCCAGCUCCUCAGCUAGUCCUGUAGGCCCCACUCCAGAGAGACACCCCCACGCCACCAUUCCUGUCCUGUUCGUCUCCACUCACUCCUGCCCCCCAGUCCACACCACCGUCCCUGCGCUGGAUCACAGCCUCCUGACAGGUCCGGCCUCCUCUGCCUCCUGCCCACAGCCCCUCAGCCCCGAGACCCAUGUGAGCCGUUCAGAGUCCAGUCGGACAUUAUCACUCCUCUGCCUAAAGCCCCCGGUGGCUUCCCAUUGUGAAGGGAAUAAAAUCCGACUCCUCACUGUGGCCGAAAGCCCACCUGCUCUGACCCCUGACUCUCUCUCUGGCCUCUCCCUCAUUGACUGACUUUGGCUGCGCUGGCCUUUCUCUCCCCGGGACGCCCAAAGCUGUUCCUGCUUUAGCACCUUCCUGCCUGCCGCUCCCUCUGCCCAGAAUGCUCUUCCUCCACAUCCUCAAAUGGCCCCCCUCUCCUCUUUCAGCCCAGCUGUCCUUUCAGAGAAACUUCCUGGACCACCCCAUCUAAAGCGCCCUUCCUCCCAGGCCCUGUUUCCUUCUCCUCGGCGUUCACCACUCUGAGGUGACCCGUUCGUGCGCCAACGUGUCACUGACUGCCCCUCUGACAUGGAAGCUCUGUGAGGGCCGUCUUGAUCCCUGGCUGUAUUCUUGGCAUGGGAUAUAGAUGUUUGUUGAAUGAAUAAAUUAUUCAAGAGUCAAUUUAGCUCGUAAAAAGACUUUUAAAGGGCCACAAGAGUAAAGUAUAUUAUUGCCUGUCAUUAGUUGCAAAAAAAGCUGUGAGCAACCAAAGGAUUUUUAGCAAGAAAAUGGACUAAUAACAGAUAAGCCCUGGGCUCAGAAGAGAUGAGAUAAUAUUAACAAGUGACCUCGAGAAGACGGACCGGUUUAGCUCCUCCUCCAUUUUCAUCCAGGAACACGACCUUCAACCCUGACGGAGUAAGAAAUGCGUUGCUGCAGAAGAUGUUAAGCCGCAUUUAUGGUGCUGCUCGGAAUAGCGUUGGAGGAGCUGCUGGGAAUUCACGAAGAACGCAAGAGGCGCCAGGAGACUGAAGAUGGGUGAAAAUCAACCAACUUUUGAAAAGAUGAGAUUCCAUAAUGAUAGGCUGGGAAGAGAGAGAGUGAUCCCCUGAAAAAAUCAUUUAUUUCAUUCAAAAAAAUUUUAGCAUUUAGCACUGUUUUGGGCACUGAGUCAAACAGACAAAAAUUCCUGCCUCAUGGGACUCCCAGUCUAGUGGGAAGAGGCAGAUAAAUCAGUAAAAGAAAUAGUAUGUUAGGUGGUGAUGCUCAGGAGAAAGAAGUAGAGAAGGGCCAUGGGGUUUCCAGGGGGUGGGGUGUUGUAAAUUUAAAUCAGGUGGUCAGGGAGCACCUCACCGAGAUGGUGACAUUUGAGCAGAGUCCUGAAGGAGGUGAGAACUGAGCCAUGUGGAGAUCCAGUGAAAAGCAUUCUAAGCAGAAUAACACGUGCAAAGGCCCUGAGGCAGGAGCAGGCCUGCAUGUUUGAGGACUAGCUCAGAGGUCAGUGUAGCUACAGCAGAGUGAGGGAGGGGAAAAGUAUCAAGAAACGACAUCAGAGAGAGGCCAGAAGAUAUAGAUAGGGACUUGUAGGUUAUUGUAAAGACUUUGGCUUUUCUCUGAGUGAGAAAAGAAACCAUUGGCAGCUCAGAGCCAAGGAGUGACAUGCUCUGAUGUAACUUUUAAAAUGAUCACUGCAGCUACCGUGAUGACUGAAGGUGGAAGCAGAGAGACAGGCAGUAAUGAUGGUGGCCUGAGCCAGGGCAACCGCCACGGGCAUGGUGAGAAGUGGUUCUGGAUAUAGAUAGAAAGAGAAGGCAGAGCUGUCAGGAUUCGUUGACAGCUCAGAUGUAGGGUGUGAAAGAAAGAGAGGAGUUAAGAAGGACUCCAAAAUUUCGGUCUCAGCAGCAGGAAAGAUAGAGGUGUCAUUGGCCCUGCUGGGGAAGAUGGCGGGAGGAGCAGAUUUUGUGGGGCACAGUCAGGAGCUCAGCUUCGGCCACGUGAGGCUUGAAAUGCCAUGGUUGGGAUCCAAGUGGUGACAGUGGGUGGCGGUUGGACAUAUGUGAGUUUGGAGCCCAGGGGAAGGGCCAUCAGCACACAGACAGCAGGGAAAGCUCUGAGAGUGACUAGACCUAGUCAGAGAAGAGAUGAGAACCAAAAACUGAGCUCUAGGACCCUCUGACAUUAGAAAGCAGGGAAGAUGAGGAGGAACCAGCAAAAGAUCCUGUCCAAGAAUUUUCAGUGCAGUAGGAGGAAAAUUCUAGAAUUUCAGAAUUCUAGUAUGUAAAUUGAGGAAGGCAAGUGGGGGUGACUCGUAUCCAGCAUGGGUUCACCAUGAAUAACUGGCCCUUUCCUGUUUCCUGAUAAGACUGCCAGGCUGGCCAUCGGAAGCAAUGCAACAGCGCUGUGUUUUGCUCCUUGUGACCUUGUCGUGUGACCAGACGAUUGUGUGGCUGGAUGUAUCUGUGGGUGUCUGGCUCUGUGCAUUGGAGAGGGGGGGGUCUCUAACACCAAACCAAGAACUAGGAACUAGUUCUUCAUCCAUUGAACAAAUACUUCUUGAGGGCACGCGUGCCAGUGCAGAGGGCUACGCCCUCCCUCACACACUCUGACUAUCCCCCCCGACAGCCCCAUCUAUUGGGUUCCUACACAGGCCGCUUCUCACCAGUUUCUGUGCCUUCCACAUGCUCCAGGAAGACUGCUCCCUGCACCCUUCAUCACCUGGGGAUCCUCUGAUUGUCCAUCAAGACCCAGCUCAAGAAGCUCCUCCUCUAGGAAGUCUCCCUUGAUCUCCGCACCCCCAUUUGAUCUAGGUCUACCUGCAGUUGGACCCAUCUUGCCUUUCUAGCCUGUGUCUGGGGAAGGUUGGGAAUAUCACCUUCAGCUGUGGGGAGAAGGAGAAGAGGAAUGUCUCUCCAGUACCGUAGAAGCCUUUGCUGAGUCGAAUAGCUGAGGAGGAGAAGGCCCCAAACAUCUGGAAAGCAGAAGAAAGCA